UACGUAGGGGGCUAGCGUUGUCCGGAUUUAUUGGGCGUAAAGAGCGUGUAGGCGGCCAGAUAGGUCUGCUGUGAAAACUCGAGGCUCAACCUCGAGAUGUCGGCGGAAACCAUUUGGCUAGAGUCCGGAAGAGGAAAGUGGAAUUCCUGGUGUAGCGGUGAAAUGCGCAGAUAUCAGGAAGAAUACCCGUGGCGAAGGCGGCUUUCUGGGACGGUACUGACGCUGAGACGCGAAAGCGUGGGGAGCGAACAGG
rnacentral:rRNA from 1 species